AUACGGAGGAUCCGAGCGUUAUCCGGAUUUAUUGGGUUUAAAGGGAGCGUAGGCGGACGCUUAAGUCAGUUGUGAAAGUUUGCGGCUCAACCGUAAAAUUGCAGUUGAUACUGGGUGUCUUGAGUACAGUAGAGGCAGGCGGAAUUCGUGGUGUAGCGGUGAAAUGCUUAGAUAUCACGAAGAACUCCGAUCGCGAAGGCAGCUCACCGGGCCGGAACUGACACUGAUGCUCGAAAGUGCGGGUAUCAAACAGGAUUAGAUACCCUGGUAGUCCGCACAGUAAACGAUGAAUACUCGCUGUUUGCGAUACACUGUAAGCGGCCAAGCGAAAGCGUUAAGUAUUCCACCUGGGGAGUACGCCGGCAACGGUGAAACUCAAAGGAAUUGACGGGG
rnacentral:rRNA from 1 species